rnacentral:lncRNA from 1 species
UUAAAAAUUGAAAAAUAAAGGUUUCCUGUUGGUGAAGCUCUUUGAUUAUAGUGGUGCCUCCGUACCUCAUCUUGAUAACACACCCAUUCAUUCAUUCUAAAAACCACACAUACACAAAAGGACUACAGUACGUAGAUGAUGAGGUUUCUUUCACAACCAUAAAAUCAGAUUCAAAUGGGUCGAGUUUUCUCCAAACACCAAAUGAUAAACACAAGAAUGUAGCAUAGUUAGUUAGUUUAGAAACAUGAAGCAGUUGACAAGAAUCUGUAAUAAGAUUACAAAAUCCAGUGUUUUAAUCAAUCUAGUUUGUUGGCUCUUUUGAUUUGCCAAAGUACAAAUCUUAGCCUUUAAACAUGGGAGGAGUGUUGUAAGUUGAGGUCAAUUGAUCUGGUUAGUUGCAAGGUUGUUAAGACACCACCUCCAUCAUAACAUCAUUCUCCUUGCUUAUGCAACCUGAUGGAGGGAUAUGGUCUCGUCUCAUGGUACCAAAAUGGAAGUCUAUAACGACCUUGGAACUAGCCGGAUCAAUUGGCCUCCACGUACACAAUGAAUCAACUGGCUGGAGUCCAUAAGCAAUCAAGUUAUCACUACACAGGCAAUUCGGGAUGUUUUCCAUGAAACAUUUCCGUAGAGGACCUGUCGGAACAGGUUUGAUAACUUUUGUGCUGUUCACGAAAAAUUUUUUUGAACAGCACCCUAGUUUUUUUUUUUUUUUUUUUCCUGCAGCUAACACUCUUAAAUGCAUAAUGCAUUUACUAUCUCGGCUAGUCGGCUUUGAAUAUAACUCUAUAUGAUUUAAAUGUUUUUAUCUGACUGGCCAUGCAGCAAGCAGCAAAAGGAUUGUGGCAUCACAGGUGCAAUGGGGCCUAGUCUCCUAGUAUUGUAGCGUGACCGACACAUCGUUCGAUUGUGCUAGUUCGAGUGUCAAUGGAUAUGUUUGGCGCAGGGCUCUUAAAGCUUAUGCUCUCGUUUUUGAAAAGAAGCACUUUUAAAAAACAAAGCCUUGUUUGGAUAAUAGUUUUAGCUAUUUUAUAAAAAUGCAUGCCCAACAAAAUAAGCUACUCAAGUCU